rnacentral:rRNA from 1 species
AAGGGGAGUGGCAGACGGGUGAGUAACACGUGGGAACCUUCCCUAUAGUACGGAAUAGCCCAGGGAAACUUGGAGUAAUACCGUAUACGCCCGAAAGGGGAAAGAAUUUCGCUAUAGGAUGGGCCCGCGUAGGAUUAGCUAGUUGGUGAGGUAAUGGCUCACCAAGGCGACGAUCCUUAGCUGGUUUGAGAGAACGACCAGCCACACUGGGACUGAGACACGGCCCAGACUCCUACGGGAGGCAGCAGUGGGGAAUAUUGGACAAUGGGCGCAAGCCUGAUCCAGCCAUGCCGCGUGAGUGAUGAAGGCCUUAGGGUUGUAAAGCUCUUUUGCCGGGGACGAUAAUGACGGUACCCGGAGAAUAAGUCCCGGCUAACUUCGUGCCAGCAGCCGCGGUAAUACGAAGGGGACUAGCGUUGUUCGGAAUCACUGGGCGUAAAGCGCACGUAGGCGGAUUCGUAAGUCAGGGGUGAAAUCCGGGGCUCAACCUCGGAACUGCUUUGAUACUGCGGGUCUUGAGUCCGAUAGAGGUGGGUGGAAUUCCUAGUGUAGUAGGUGAAAUCGUAGAUAUUAUGAAGAACACCCGGUGGCCGAAGGC